CUUUUCUUUUGUAAUCUCUGUCUCCACUCCUCCCUUCUCUCACCAUCCAUCGGUACCUGUCAUCUAUUGUUGUCGUGGUAAUGGUGGUGGGGGUGGUGUUGUCGGGAACGGAGGAGAUUCUGGAGGAGGAUAGGGGUGGGGUUGAAGGAUAAAGUAGAACGUGCUAGGAAUCAGAACAUGAGGGAUUAGAGGAGGGGAAGAAUGGGUUUAAUCGUUAGAGAAGAGGAAGAAUGAGUUCUAUGAUUUUAUCUGAUGAGUUCAAGAAUCGUUCAAUGGUUUUCUCUUUGAGCUUUUGUCAGGGAAUCCUCGUCCCCGUUCCGAAGUGGAAGAAGACUAGAAGAGUAUUGAUAAAAACCUUCCUUCCUUCCGAGGGUCUGUUUGUACUGGUUUCCCGGUGACAGGAGCGUGACUUGCAGCCUCCAAUCAUCAGAUGUUCUCUGUAUGUCUCUAUCCUCUGUCUAGUUUCUGUUCAUUGAUUCAUUCGACUUUUGGGAUUGCAAUUCUUUUAUUGUUUCCAUAUUUGGGGUUUUGAAUUUUUGGGUAGCUGACCCUGCGUGAGGAUUUCACUUAUUUGAUUCAAUCCGAUCAUACUUCAAUGCAAUAGAACAAACAAUAUGUUCCCUUUGGCUUGUAAGAGUGCCAUGUUAGACUUCAUUAUACCUCAUAGUGGUGAUGCCUGAAGGUUAGGACUUGUUAGGAAGGUAGGAAGGAAAAAGGAAAAGAGAAAAAAAGAAAGAAGAGAAUUUAUACCCAUUUACCUAAAUGAGUCUUAUUUUUUUUUUCUUACUGGUAGACAUCAUACAAUAUUUGAAAUAUCAAAUUUAACUAGUACUGCUCUUUCAAAGGGAAGUAUGUAGAGUCUGAAUCUUUGAUGAAGUUCGCUUGAAAUUCAGAUGUGAACUGGGAUUUUGUGGAUGUUACUUUCUGCUUGGCUGUUGGUACUUCCAUAAGUGCCUGAAUGAAUUUGAAUCUUAAAUUUUUAUCUGUAUAAGAUGUUUGAUGAGGCAAGGUAUUUUUUUGGGUGGUAAAGAGAUUGUUAUGCAAGGUAAUUGUUGUGGUGGUUAAGGUAUUCUUAUGGAAGGAAGGUUGAGGGCAGCUUAGGCAGUGAUUCUUCUAUCGCAAGACUGUUUCCUUGGUGGAGUACACAACAUGUGUUAUAUACAUCCCUAGGGAUGUCGAUUUGUUAGUAUUUUGAUCAAAAUUUUGAUAAAGGCUUGAGACCCGAUUGAAUAAAAGAUGAAACAAAGACAUGUUGGAUUUUGUUGUUUCCUCCACCAAUGAAACAACAAAAUUCAACACAUCUUUGUUUCAUAUUUUCUCCAACCAGGUCUCAUGCCUUUAUCAAUUUUUUGAUCAAAAUACUAAUAAUCUCUACCUUGAUCAAAAAAUUCCAUAGCUUUCGCUAUAAACACUGUAUUCACCAACAGUCACAACUCUUAACAAAGAAAAUCAUCAUACUGAAUCAUAAAGAGUACACCUACUUAUAAGUCACCAUUCUAAGAAUUUUCCUUUAGCUCAUGUCGAAAAAACUUGUUGAGAAAUUAUGGUGCAAAUGCAAUCCCUAUGUUUGGCUUUCCCGAGAGUUCAUUAGCCCUCGGCAUACUUUUCCAUCACACACAUGCAUCAAUGUCAAACCAAUGCCUGUGUGCAAACUUGUGAAUCCGCUAGCUGUAACACUUCCUCUUUCAUGACAUCUAACGGCAUGCCAUGAGGAUGUACAUGCCCUUCAGAGGACAUCACUUGCGUUUUCCUCCAAAAAUGCAAUGUUAGCUUCACCAGAGCUACUUGCCAAAUCAGCUCCACCUUUCGGACAAUUCCUCUUGUGAUGCCCAGAUUUCUCACCCUUCCAGCACACCAACUUUGCUUCAUGUACUUAUUCUUCCUAUUUUUAGCUACGAACUCUGAGUUCUCCAGUGGACCAUUAUUCCCAUUGUAACUUCAGCAAAAAUUAUUUUCUCCUUCCCAUGAAUUAAUAAAGACUUCAUGUGCUCAUAGGAAGAUGGAAGAGACCAUAUAAGCCUCAAGGCUAUAUCUUCAUCAUCCAUCUUAAUCAAGGAUGGAGCCCCCUCUAGAUUUUGACAAAAAAUUUACUACACAUACAUAUAUGUUUACAUAUUUGACAAAAAAUUGCUGAGUGAUCUACUGGUUAUAAACUUGUUAAUUUCAACACCCAAGGUAGCAUGCCUCUAUUUUUUGUGCUUCUUUUUUUUUUUAUUUCUUUAUUUUGUCUAUUUUAUCUCUUUAUUUUGGUGUCAAUAAUUGGUGCUGUUCCUAUUGGCUAUUUUUGUCUCCUCAUUUUUUUAUUUUGCCUAUUUUAGCCUUUUAAGUUAACUAUUUCUCUCAAGUAUAUCAAGAAUUGUGUUGUUCCUUAUUCAAUAAUUAACAAAGUUAUGUUAAUCUUUUUUGGCUAUGUUCCCUAUUUAAUUUAUUUAUGUAAAAGACUAAAUCUAAUUUUUUUGUUUAUUUCAUUCAAGUUAUGCUAUUUAGAAAAGCUAAUUAUAGUUAAAACUAGUGAUUGUAAAAAAUAUUUUUAAUUUUGUUGGUUAUUAGUGGAAAAUAACAAACAACAUAUAAAUAGCCAAAAAAAAAAAUAGUGCAAAUCCUGGCUUCACCCUUGAUCUUAAUUCCAACAACCGCCAGUUCUGAGACGAUCCCAUUGAGAACACUCAGAUGAUCUUAAAUUGUUGUACCUUCACGCAUACGCAGUGUAUGAAACAUACGACUUGAAAUGCCUUAUGAUUGGUACAAUUCUUCAAUCUUUUCCCAAAUCGCCUUGGCCGUAGAUAUUCCAUGCACGUUCGCCGGAAUAUUCUUGGCCAAACACGGUCGAAUUGCACUAGCAGCUUUUAAAUGAAGUUCUUCCCAAUCUUCAUCGCUGAACUAUCCUGAAUCUUACAUGAAAAUCGAGUGGUUUCUCCUUUAACGCCUUGUGUAACUGUAACCCAUCUUGAAUUAACACAUUUUUGACUUGCACUUGCCACAUGCAAAACUUGAUUCUCUCAUCAAACUUCUCGAUGUCGAUUUUAACAGUUGACAUAUCUUCUCCAAGGAACCUUGCUCCGAUAUAAAUUGUUGAGAAAUUUAACCAAGAUCCUCCUUAAUAGAAAUAUCAAACAAACAAUAGAGAAAUUGAACUGGAAAAUAAAACCAAUCUCAAUUUCUCUAUGGUUCGUUUGGUAUUUCUGUUUGGUUAAAUUUCCCAACACGAUUUUGCUCCAGCACUUCACAUACUCGGUCAACGUGGAUAUGCUGUAGUCCUUGUUAUCCCUUCCGGGGUAGGUGUGAAUGUGAUCAGCUCUUAGCAGUUAGCAGUGUUGGUAAGUUUGUCUGGAACUGGCCUAGUAUGGCUCGUGGGGAAGGUUUUGUUCCGCCAGGCGCCAACUAAACCUUUAUUUCCCCCUCGUUAUGACCCAUUUGACAUUGCUGGUUCUCUCAUGGGUUGCCAUAUGAGUGGCAAUUUUGAUGAUCAAAACGAAGAGGAGACAAUUGUGUAUGGAGGAAUCUCCCAAAGUUAUUGCAACACCAGAGAUUUCUCUAUUGUGCCAUGGUCGCUUUCUGAAUACAAUAGCAGUUCUUCAAUUUCCAUGCCUUGUUUUCCCUCAACUUUGAGGUCACAAAGCCUCCCUUCUGGUUUGAAUGAAGAGGCUGCAGGCCCUGUUUCUUCUGUUAAACAAGUAUGUGGGUACAGCCAGGGGACAUAGAUGGUCUGAAGAUGCGGCUGGUAAAGUUGCUUGAGCUUUUUGGAGGACAUAUGCCUCUUACCCAUGUGCCUUCUGAAUACCAGAAAAUUUUUGGGCGGCCUCUUUAUGUAUCAGAGUAUGGGGUGUUCAAGCUCGUAAAUCUUUUCAAUAAAAUGAGUGACGCCAUGGCAAUAGAUGGAAAGGCCCAAAAGAAAUUUGUCUACCUCCGCAACAGGAAGGCAGGCCCAAGUGCACCCCCUGUACCUUUGGCCAGUAAGGUUAAAAGGGAGAAUGGGUCUCAGGAAGAGUGUAUUGAUGUAGUUAUAGGUAAUGGUUUCUCAGAUGAGUUUUCAGAUGAGGAAAAAGCAAUGAUUGAGGAACAUGAUGAGAUGAGGAACGAAGGAAGUUUUAACAUGCGUGCAGCAGCUUGGUCGAAGAUUGAUGACUAUGAUCUUGGGCAAUUCCAUCUUGAGCUGCAAGAAAUUCUCGUUAGCUACUAAUGUAGGAUUUUUUUGGGCUGUUUUGAGGCGAUAUAAUUGCAACAAUACAAGAAGCUAUUGAAUUAUCAAAAGUUUGGUGUGGAUCAGCUGGAGAAGCUGUUUGAGAAGGUGAGAGAUGUGGUGGUGUUGCAUGAAGAGCCAGUAACCAAGAGGAAGUUCCUGGUAGCAGUUGGCAGCUGCUGCGUCUUGUAACCUUAUAACUCUUUUGACUAAUAUAUAGAUCGGACAUAUGAGUUGAGAAGUUAGAAAUGUAAAACAUCUUCAAACAAUUUGGGAAAGCUGAACUUCAUGUUAGCAGAUUAAAGAGCAUAUGCAGAAACCCAUAGUUUCUGAUUAGACAUCUCAAGUAAGAGGUAGAGACUUAAAGCUUAUCACUGAGAAUGGAGUUAGAGGUUUAAUGCCUGAUAUGUAUGACUUCCUCAAUAACGUCUGGUUAUGGCAUUCUUUUGGAGGCCAGCCAAUGCUUCGACUCUACAGCUUUUUAAGCUGCCAUUAAUGUUCUGAGAGGGAUUCAACAAUUAUUCCAAGCAAAACCCUACUGAAAUUGUCAUUAUUAUCAUUGAAGACUGUCUCCUCCCUGAAGGGACUCACCAAAGUGUUUGAUGCUGCUGGCCCAAGGAAAUGCUGGUUUCCAGAAGCCGUAUAUUAUGCUACGAAGUGUCAAAUGCAAGGCGAAUACGAUUUGUGGAGUCUGAGCCUCUGAGGUAAUGUAGCUUAGCCUUAGGCUGGUGUUGCCCCUGCACCUGGAUCAAGAGACCAUGAUAUCAACUUUGCUUACUUGGUCAGGAGACCAGUUCAACUAUGGCGGUUGGUUGGGAUGGUUGUAGCAGUACUUUUCAUGCGACUGUUAUUUCAUCAUAUAAGGUGUGGUUCUCUUCUUUCUGGCUUUGUGCACUAUUACUUCACAAAAUGAUGGGACUUUUCUAACCAAGUAUAUUGACAGAUUAGAGUAGAAUUUGAAUGUAUUCAUGUGAUUUACAAUGCAGUAAAGCAUAAUAGCUUUUCAGUCUACCCUUUGUGUGCUUGGAUUCACGUGAUUUAUAACACAAGAAAGUAGUGGAUCCUGUAUGGAACAGAUCCAGUGUCUUCUCUUCUUAUUGUUCUUGUAAGCUAUUGCGAUAGCUUAGUUGGUUGUUUUUCCGAACUUAGGAUUUCGUGGGCAUGUCUCACUUUCGGAUCUCUAUAUAUAUGGGUUUCAACUCAA